GAUGAACGCUGGCGGCGUGCCUAAUACAUGCAAGUCGAGCGAACAGACGAGGAGCUUGCUCCUCUGACGUUAGCGGCGGACGGGUGAGUAACACGUGGAUAACCUACCUAUAAGACUGGGAUAACUUCGGGAAACCGGAGCUAAUACCGGAUAAUAUAUUGAACCGCAUGGUUCAAUAGUGAAAGACGGUUUUGCUGUCACCUAUAGAUGGAUCCGCGCCGCAUUAGCUAGUUGGUAAGGUAACGGCUUACCAAGGCAACGAUGCGUAGCCGACCUGAGAGGGUGAUCGGCCACACUGGAACUGAGACACGGUCCAGACUCCUACGGGAGGCAGCAGUAGGGAAUCUUCCGCAAUGGGCGAAAGCUUGACGGAGCAACGCCGCGUGAGUGAUGAAGGUCUUCGGAUCGUAAAACUCUGUUAUUAGGGAAGAACAAAUGUGUAAGUAACUAUGCACGUCUUGACGGUACCUAAUUAGAAAGCCACGGCUAACUACGUG
rnacentral:rRNA from 1 species